GACGAACCGUGCGAACGUUGUUCGGAAUCACUGGGCUUAAAGGGCGCGUAGGCGGUCGGGCCAGUCCGGGGUGAAAUCCUGCAGCUCAACUGUAGAAGUGCCUUGGAUACUGCCCGGCUCGAGGGAGGUAGGGGUCUGUGGAACUUCUGGUGGAGCGGUGAAAUGCGUUGAUAUCAGAAGGAACGCCGGUGGCGAAAGCGACAGACUGGACCUCUUCUAACGCUGAGGCGCGAAAGCUAGGGGAGCAAACGGG
rnacentral:rRNA from 1 species